CGAAAGCGUGGGGAGCAAAUAGGAUUAGAUACCCUAGUAGUCCACGCCGUAAACGAUGAGAACUAGGUGUUGGGGGAAUAACUCAGUGCCGCAGUUAACGCAAUAAGUUCUCCGCCUGGGGAGUAUGCACGCAAGUGUGAAACUCAAAGGAAUUGACGGGGGCCCGCACAAGCGGUGGAGUAUGUGGUUUAAUUCGAAGCAACGCGAAGAACCUUACCAGGCCUUGACAUCCCUUGCAGAGAUAUAGAGAUAUAUCCGAGGUUAACAAGGAGACAGGUGGUGCAUGGUUGUCGUCAGCUCGUGUCGUGAGAUGUUGGGUUAAGUCCCGCAACGAGCGCAACCCUUGUGAUAUGUUACUAACAUUGAGUUGAGGACUCAUAUCAGACUGCCGGUGAUAAACCGGAGGAAGGUGGGGAUGACGUCAAAUCAUCAUGCCCCUUAUGGCCUGGGCUACACACGUACUACAAUGGCGUCUACAAAGAGCGGCAAGCCUGUGAAGGCAAGCGAAUCUCAUAAAGGACGUCUCAGUUCGGAUUGAAGUCUGCAACCCGACUUCAUGAAGCUGGAAUCGCUAGUAAUCGCGAAUCAGCAUGUCGCGGUGAAUACGUUCUCGGGCCUUGUACACACCGCCCGUCAAACCAUGGGAGUUGGUAAUGCCCGAAGCCGGUGGCAUAACCCUUCGGGGAGUGAGCCGUCGAAGGCAGGACCGAUGACUGGGGUUAAGUCGUAACAAGGUAUCCCUACGGGAACGUGGGGAUG
rnacentral:rRNA from 1 species